CUCCAACAUGAAGCUUCUUCAUGUUUUCCUGUUAUUUCUGUGCUUCCACUUAAGGUUUUGCAAGGUCACUUAUACAUCUCAAGAGGAUCUGGUGGAGAAAAAGUGCUUAGCAAAAAAAUAUACUCACCUCUCCUGCGAUAAAGUCUUCUGCCAGCCAUGGCAGAGAUGCAUUGAGGGCACCUGUGUUUGUAAACUACCGUAUCAGUGCCCAAAGAAUGGCACUGCAGUGUGUGCAACUAACAGGAGAAGCUUCCCAACAUACUGUCAACAAAAGAGUUUGGAAUGUCUUCAUCCAGGGACAAAGUUUUUAAAUAACGGAACAUGCACAGCCGAAGGAAAGUUUAGUGUUUCCUUGAAGCAUGGAAAUACAGAUUCAGAGGGAAUAGUUGAAGUAAAACUUGUGGACCAAGAUAAGACAAUGUUCAUAUGCAAAAGCAGCUGGAGCAUGAGGGAAGCCAACGUGGCCUGCCUUGACCUUGGGUUUCAACAAGGUGCUGAUACUCAAAGAAGGUUUAAGUUGUCUGAUCUCUCUAUAAAUUCCACUGAAUGUCUACAUGUGCAUUGCCGAGGAUUAGAGACCAGUUUGGCUGAAUGUACUUUUACUAAGAGAAGAACUAUGGGUUACCAGGAUUUCGCUGAUGUGGUUUGUUAUACACAGAAAGCAGAUUCUCCAAUGGAUGACUUCUUUCAGUGUGUGAAUGGGAAAUACAUUUCUCAGAUGAAAGCCUGUGAUGGUAUCAAUGAUUGUGGAGACCAAAGUGAUGAACUGUGUUGUAAAGCAUGCCAAGGCAAAGGCUUCCAUUGCAAAUCGGGUGUUUGCAUUCCAAGCCAGUAUCAAUGCAAUGGUGAGGUGGACUGCAUUACAGGGGAAGAUGAAGUUGGCUGUGCAGCAGCUAGACAUCCUACAAUUCAAGGCUUUGCAUCUGUGACUCAAGAAGAAACAGAAAUUUUGACUGCUGACAUGGAUGCAGAAAGAAGACGGAUAAAAUCAUUAUUACCUAAACUAUCUUGUGGAGUUAAAAACAGAAUGCACAUUCGAAGGAAACGAAUUGUGGGAGGAAAGCGAGCACAACUGGGAGACCUCCCAUGGCAGGUGGCAAUUAAGGAUGCCAGUGGAAUCACCUGUGGGGGAAUUUAUAUUGGUGGCUGUUGGAUUCUGACUGCUGCACAUUGUCUCAGAGCCAGUAAAACUCAUCGUUACCAAAUAUGGACAACAGUAGUAGACUGGAUACACCCCGACCUUAAACGUAUAGUAAUUGAAUACGUGGAUAGAAUUAUUUUCCAUGAAAACUACAAUGCAGGCACUUACCAAAAUGACAUCGCUUUGAUUGAAAUGAAAAAAGACG
rnacentral:lncRNA from 1 species